CCUUAGAGUUUGAUCCUGGCUCAGGAUGAACGCUAGCUACAGGCUUAACACAUGCAAGUCGAGGGGCAGCAUGAAAGGAACUUCGGUUCUUUUUGAUGGCGACCGGCGCACGGGUGCGUAACGCGUAUCGAACCUGCCUCAUACUCGGGGAUAGCCUUGCGAAAGUAAGAUUAAUACCCGGCGGUCUCGGAUGGCCGCAUGACUGUCCGAGUGAAGAUUUAUCGGUAUGAGAUGGCGAUGCGUCCCAUUAGCUAGUUGGUGAGGUAAUGGCUCACCAGGGCAUUGAUGGGUAGGGGCUCUGAGAGGAAGGUCCCCCACAUUGGAACUGAGACACGGUCCAAACUCCUACGGGAGGCAGCAGUGAGGAAUAUUGGUCAAUGGACGAAAGUCUGAACCAGCCAAGUAGCGUGCAGGAUGACGGCCCUCUGGGUUGUAAACUGCUUUUAGUUGGGAAUAAAAAGAGGGACGUGUCCCUUAUUGUAUGUACCAUCAGAAAAAGGACCGGCUAAUUCCGUGCCAGCAGCCGCGGUAAUACGGAAGGUCCAGGUGUUAUCCGGAUUUAUUGGGUUUAAAGGGAGCGCAGGCGGCGGCGUAAGUCAGUUGUGAAAUCGUGCGGCUUAACCGUGCAAUUGCAGUUGAUACUGCGUCGCUUGAGUGCACACAGGGAUGUUGGAAUUCAUGGUGUAGCGGUGAAAUGCUUAGAUAUCAUGAAGAACUCCGAUCGCGAAGGCAUAUGUCCGGAGUGCAACUGACGCUGAGGCUCGAAAGUGUGGGUAUCAAACAGGAUUAGAUACCCUGGUAGUCCACACAGUAA
rnacentral:rRNA from 1 species